rnacentral:misc_RNA from 1 species
GGAUGGAUCAUUAACAAGUAUGCGCGCGGCCUCUGGUCGACUGCUCAUUUUGUUACCCUUGUGGUUUAUAGAUCAAUAUCUUGAGGAUUGGCGUUGUGCUGUGCGCUUGCGUGCACACGCGCCGACCUCUACAAACCAUACCUAUAUUCUGAGUAUCUGAAGUUGCCUUGUGGACGCUGGCGUCUCUCUCUCUUGAGGGAUGGCCGGUCACCAAGUAAAUCAAUUGUAAUUCUAUACAACUGCUAGCAACGGAUCACUCGGCUCUCGCGUCGAUGAAGAACGUAGCGAACUGCGAAAAUUAAUGCGACCCGCAACACGUGAGUCAUCGUGUCUUUGAACGCACAUUGCACCCAGUGGGAGCUCCCCACAGGUAUGCAUGGCUGAGUAUCAGUACGGACCCAAAGCCUCUGAAAGGGUUGAAGCGCGCGGUUUCACGACCGUGUGCCUCGCCUCCGAUCUAGGCUCUGGUGCUCGACUCUGCCGCCACCGGCGACAGAGGCGGAUAUGGUUGUCCGAGGCGCGCGCACUUGUGCAAGCGACUCGGUCGACUGAAAUGUAUUGGACUUGCCGCCAACUUGGCUGCAGCCUGCGCACUAAGCAUUGUUAAUCAUCUUCGGAUGUCUUUGCUCUGAGGUGCAGGCCGCGUUUACGCCGGUUGCUUGCGGCUGUCCGAUUCAGCGUACAGCGUGGGCGCGCCCGAGGCGAACUGCCACUGGACUUGUCCUUUGGCGGCCGCGUCGGCGUGCGUGCACAACCCCAACCCACUUGAUCUCAGCUCACGCAAGAUGACCCGCUGAACUUAAGCAUAUCAGUAAGCGGAGGAAAAGAAACUAACCAGGAUUCCCUCAGUAACGGCGAGUGAAGCGGGAAUAGCCCAAUUUUAGAAGCGAGCGUGCACCUGCCACGUCUUGCGUUGUAAAUUGUUGGAGCGUUGCCUAGGUCGUGCCCACCGGUUAAAGUCCCUUGGAACAGGGCGUCAGAGAGGGUGAAAACCCCGUGGUUGACCGGACGGGCGCGGUCGUCUAUGGCGCGUCUCCUUAGAGUCGGAAUGUUUGGGAUUGCAUUCCAAAGUGGGUGGUAAACUCCAUCUAAGGCUAAAUACUGGCGAGAGACCGAUAGCGAACAAGUACCGUGAGGGAAAGUUGAAAAGCACUCUGGAGAGAGAGUCAAACAGUACGUGAAAUUGCUAGCAGGGAAACGUUGGGCACCAGUACACGGCAGUCAACGCGGAUGAUCAGUCGGUGGCGGGGUGGAACAGUGCGUGGAGCUUCGGCUUGGGGACCGUCCUUGGGCGGCCCACGCGUGCUGUGUCUGCCUCGGCGCCGGUGCACUCUUCCGCGGCCGGGUCAACAUCGGUUGCUGACGUCUGAGAAGCCGUGCGGCAAGGUAUCUCCAGGUUGGCCUCGGCCCUCUUGGAGAACUUAUAGGCCGUGCUGGCGAGGAUGUCGGCGACUGAGGCGGCAUAGCGGUUCGCGCAUUUAUGCAGGGCGUGCUGGUCGGGUCGAGGUUGCCCGUGAUGCUAGGCAGCAUGCUGACUAGUGUUAUUUUGUCGUGCUUUUGCGCGGCAGCGGCGAUCGCUCGGCCAGUGCAAGCCACUAGCGAGCCUAUGACGGUUGACGAAAUGGUAUUCAACGACCCGUCUUGAAACACGGACCAAGGAGUCUAACAUGUCUGCGAGUGUUUGGGUGGCAAACCCGAACGCGGAAUGAAAGUGAAGAGGCGGGUUUCGUACCCGUCCACUGGUAGGAGGCGACGUCCCUCGGGGCGGUGCCGCACUACCGACCGACCUGUUGCCCUCUGUGGUGGUAGGUUUGAGUUGGAGCAGUCCUGUUAGGACCCGAAAGAUGGUGAACUAUGCCUGAGCAGGAUGAAGCCAGAGGAAACUCUGGUGGAGGUCCGUAGCGGUUCUGACGUGCAAAUCGAUCGUCGGACUUGGGUAUAGGGGCGAAAGACUAAUCGAACCAUCUAGUAGCUGGUUCCUGC